GUGAAAAACUGAGUUUAAAUAUAUUUGGCUAAGGUGUAUGUAAACUUCCGACUUCAACUGUAUAUAUCAUGUUUUGGGUGCCAUUUUGAUUCUAACAAGGUAAUAAUGUACUAUGGUUGGAUUUAAAGCUUCAGSUAAUAGUUGAGUUAAUUUGUGUUUUCAUUCCUCCCUAACACAGAGAACKACCCAGGUGAUCAACUGUAASAUCCUCUCUGUCACCCAGAUGACCAGACUGGUUCUCCCACGCAUGGUUGCAAGAGGGAACGGUCUGAUCAUCAACAUGUCUUCAGAGGCAGGUGCUCAACCACAACCCAUGCUGUCUCUCUACUCCGCCACCAAGGUGCCUCUCCCUUUCACUUAACUUUCUCUCACUCAAG